AACUAAGAUAGAGGCGCGAAAUUUAAGAGUAAUAUUACAGAGUUAAGCACAGUGAAGUAAUAUGAAAGGAAAUUUUGCCGAAGCUUAUAGUAAAUGCUUUAAUACUAUUUGCUGGGAUUACGCAAAAUAUGUGUAAUACUGUCAUAGGUUUUAUACCUAUGGAGGGCUAUUAUUCAG
rnacentral:ncRNA from 1 species